UACAGAGGUCCCAAGCGUUGUUCGGAUUCACUGGGCGUAAAGGGUGCGUAGGUGGUUGAAUAAGUUUGAUGUGAAAUCUCCGAGCUUAACUCGGAAACUGCAUUGAAUACUGUUUGACUAGAGGAUUGGAGGGGGGACUGGAAUUCUCGGUGUAGCAGUGAAAUGCGUAGAUAUCGGGAAGAACACCAAAGAGGCGAAGGCAGUUAACUAUUCUGCUCCUGACAUUGAGGCACGAAAGCGUGGGUAGCAAAGCGG
rnacentral:rRNA from 1 species